AGGUCUCAGUUCAGAUUGCAGGCUGCAACCGCCUGCAUGAAGUCGGAAUUGCUAGUAAUCGCGGAUCAGCAUGCCGCGGUGAAUACGUUCCCGGGCCUUGUACACACCGCCCGUCACACCAUGGGAGCCGGUAAUACCCGAAGUCAGUAGUCCAACCUCGUGAGGACGCUGCCGAAGGUAGGAUUGGCGACUGGGGUGAAGUCGUAACAAGGUAAC
rnacentral:rRNA from 1 species